GAAAAGUGGAAAGUGUACUGCUCUUCUUCUUCUUCACAUCUCCGUUCGAUUUGUUUAUUGUUCCGAUGUCAUCUACUCUCGCAUCUAAUCAGGUGCUGUGUAUUCAAGUUCAAUUGAAAUUAUAUCCAAGCUGUGCUUAUUAUUUUUUGGUUGUUUGAGCUCAGAUCCGUUAAUGGCCAAUUUAUUCUAAGCUGAAGAUGCUGAUGAAUAAAUUGGAUGAAACAAACAUGUUGUUGUUGAAUGAAGUAGUCAGAAAAUCAAAGGUUAAGACCUUUUCUUUUUUUUCUUUGUUUAAAUUAAAGUUCUAUGAUCUUUCAGACCCCAAGUUUUAUAGUAUAUAUAUCGUGAUUUAUAAAUUUAAAUUCAUCUGUUAAACGGUUACCACAGAAUGAGAAUUUGGAGUUAAAAAUAUGCCUAGAGAUUUUUAAAAAUUUUGGUCUAAAAAAUUUUAUGUUCGUUUUGUUAGAGAUACAUAAUCUCUGAACUCCACAGAUUAACAAAUAACGUCUAAUGAAGUAGAUGAAAAGAUUAAAGGCUUAUUUCGUCAGUACGAAAAUAGUGACUCUUAUAUGUUACGGAAGUUUUACUCCUUUUAAAGAUAUUGAUAAUUGUUGUUGAUUCAAUUAUUCUUUUUCUCUUUAAAAAGCUAUAUAAGAGAUCUUUAAGUUUCUUCCUAUCUUUUGUGACAAGAAAGUGAAAAAAUUAAAAGGCAUGUUGUAAAUAUAUUAGAACACAUGAAUGUGGAGAGACCACAUAAACUGUGAGUGUACUUCAGAUCAUAAGUACAACAUGACCACAUUCAGUAAAAAAGAAAAUUAAUGGAAGAAAGUGGAGAAACCCGAAUAUGUACACAUUGAAUUUUUACUUACAUGAAGCAAUAUUAUUUUAGAAAAACAUUGACAGUUUAUUUCUGUGGGUAGAGGUUGAAAAACAUUGACACUUUAUUUCUCUUGGUAGAGGUUGAAUAAUUAAAUUUAAACUCGUCUAAG